UUAGAUGGCCUUUGCUAGUUUUCUAGCGAAUGGUUCAUUCUUUUUUACUGUGAACUGUUUUAAUUUUUCAGCGUCUGAGGAAUGUCUUUUAGCCAUAGGGAUAGGCUACUAGAAUGUUAACCGAGCUGAAAGUCAGGCUUAGGCCUGGUAUCCUAUUAAUUAUUUACCAAAAGAAUUCAGUAUUAUAAUUGUAACAUAAGCGUAAAAAACUUAUAAAACAACUUUUAACAACGGAUCUCUUGGUUCUCGCAUCGAUGAAGAACGUAGCAAAGUGCGAUAACUAGUGUGAAUUGCAUAUUCAGUGAAUCAUCGAGUCUUUGAACGCAACUUGCGCUCAAUGGUAUUCCAUUGAGCACGCCUGUUUCAGUAUCAAAAACACCCCACAUUCAUAAUUUUGUUGUGAAUGGAAAUGAGAGUUUCGGCUUUAUUGCUGAAUUCUUUAAAAUUAUUAGGCCUGAACUAUUGUUCUUUCUGCCUGAACAUUUUUUUAAUAUAAAGGAAUGCUCUAGUAAAAAGACUAUCUCUGGGGCCUCCCAAAUAAAUCAUUCUUAAAUUUGAUCUGAAAUCAGGCGGGAUUACCCGCUGAACUUAAGCAUAUCAAUAAGCGGGGAA
rnacentral:rRNA from 1 species